rnacentral:tRNA from 2 species
GGGCGGUUAGCUCAGCUGGUUAGAGCGUGUGCCUCACAUGCACAAGGUCGGUGGUUCGAGCCCACUACCGCCCACCA